rnacentral:rRNA from 1 species
AGUGAACGCUGGCGGUAGGCCUAACACAUGCAAGUCGAACGGCAGCACAGUAAGAGCUUGCUCUUACGGGUGGCGAGUGGCGGACGAGUGAGGAAUACAUCGGAAUCUACUUUUUCGUGGGGGAUAACGUAGGGAAACUUACGCUAAUACCGCAUACGACCUACGGGUGAAAGCAGGGGAUCUUCGGACCUUGCGCGAUUGAAUGAGCCGAUGUCGGAUUAGCUAGUUGGCGGGGUAAAGGCCCACCAAGGCGACGAUCCGUAGCUGGUCUGAGAGGAUGAUAAGCCAAACUGGAACUGAGACACGGUCCAGACUCCUACGGGAGGCAGCAGUGGGGAAUAUUGGACAAUGGGCGCAAGCCUGAUCCAGCCAUACCGCGUGGGUGAAGAAGGCCUUCGGGUUGUAAAGCCCUUUUGUGGGGAAAGAAAAGCAGCAGGUUAAUACCCCGCUGUUCUGACGGUACCCAAAGAAUAAGCACCGGCUAACUUCGUG